UGCUAAUGAUGUAUUAUUUUUAGAAAGCAAGACUUAAGUAUCACUUAUCCAAAACAGUGACCAAUCUCUCUAAAAUGGCCAGUCCUAAAUCGUCUCAUGCAAAUGAAUUGGAUGAUUAAAGCAUUCAAACAAAUGACUAAAAUAACAGGGGCAGUUUGCUUGAAAAUGCGAAGCUCUACCAGGCGUGUUCAGUCUUGCAUACAAGUUAGAAUCUCCUGGAGAAAGUACAGGACCCACCUCACAUGACCACCAAAACCACAAUCUCAGGGAGGCUGAACCCUGGCAUCUGGCAUCAGGUUUUAAAAAAGCUCGCUGACUGUAAUAAUGCCCAAAGGAGGCUAAGAACCACUGGUGACCCAGGUGGAGAACUGACUGAUAAGCUCUGAGAGGGCACCCUCAAGACAAUUGAAAGAGAAGGAAAAGCCGAUGAGUAAUGGAGCUUCCACAUAACAAGAAUGGAGGAAAAGACCUAGGAAAGAAGAGUGAAAUACACAACUUGGCUCAGAAAGGCCCCAUGGAGCACAAUGCAUUUCAAGACCCGUGAUCCAGCGGUGGGGAUGGGGGCAGGGAGAAAAGGGGCAGAAAAAUAGAAAUCUUGGCUAGUAGGCAGAUUUACCGGCCAAACUAAACUCAAGAUAAUGAGAACAUAGUUUCACUUAUAAGGAAGGCUAUGGUGCGCUAUGAGGCUAUGAUAAGGCAAAUUCAUGAUACUAAUAUAGUUAGUUUAUGACUAACUGAAGUCAUAUCAAAGUCAAAAGAAACAUUUAGUGGAGUCUUA